UGAUACUAAGCCAUGCGAGUCAUUGCAGUAAUGCAAGGCAGACGGCUCAGUAACGCGUAGUCAACCUACCCUAUGGACGGGAAUAACCUCGGGAAACUGAGUAUAAUGCCCGAUAGAACACUAUCCCUGGAAUGGUUUGUGUUCCAAAUGAUUUAUCGCCGUAGGAUGGGACUGCGGCCUAUCAGUUUGUUGGUGAGGUAAUGGCCCACCAAGACUAUUACAGGUACGGGCUCUGAGAGGAGCAGCCCGGAGAUGGGUACUGAGACACGGACCCAGGCCCUAUGGGGCGCAGCAGGCGAGAAAACUUUGCAAUGUGCGAAAGCACGACAAGGUUAAUCCGAGUGGUUUGUGCUAAACGAACCUUUUGACAGUCCUAGAGACACUGUUGAAUAAGGGGUGGGCAAGUUCUGGUGUCAGCCGCCGCGGUAAAACCAGCACCUCAAGUGGUCAGGAUGAUUAUUGGGCCUAAAGCAUCCGUAGCCGGCUCUGUAAGUUUUCGGUUAAAUCUGUACGCUCAACGUACAGGCUGCCGGGAAUACUGCAGAGCUAGGGAGUGGGAGAGGUAGACGGUACUCGGUAGGAAGGGGUAAAAUCCUUUGAUCUAUUGAUGACCACCUGUGGCGAAGGCGGUCUACCAGAACACGUCCGACGGUGAGGGAUGAAAGCUGGGGGAGCAAACCGGAUUAGAUACCCGGGUAGUCCCAGCUGUAAACUAUGCAAACUCAGUGAUGCAUUGGCUUGUGGCCAAUGCAGUGCUGCAGGGAAGCCGUUAAGUUUGCCGCCUGGGAAGUACGUACGCAAGUAUGAAACUUAAAGGAAUUGGCGGGGGAGCACCACAAGGGGUGAAGCCUGCGGUUCAAUUGG
rnacentral:rRNA from 1 species